GUGCUCGCUUCGGCAGCACAUAUCCUAAAAUUGGAACGAUGAAGAGAUUACCAUGGCCCUUGCGCAAGGAUGACAUGCAAAUUCGUGAAGCAUUCCUUAUUUUU